rnacentral:rRNA from 1 species
GGGAUCAUUAAAGAGUUCUAUAACUCCCAAACCCAUGUGAACAUACCUAACGUUGCCUCGGCAGGUCGCACCUACCUUGUAGCACCCUACCCUGUAGGGCCUACCCGGGAGGUGCGGGUAAGCCUGCCGGCGGCCCACCAAACUCUGUUUGAUAUUGAAUUCUGAACCUAUAACUAAAUAAGUUAAAACUUUCAACAACGGAUCUCUUGGUUCUGGCAUCGAUGAAGAACGCAGCGAAAUGCGAUAAGUAAUGUGAAUUGCAGAAUUCAGUGAAUCAUCGAAUCUUUGAACGCAUAUUGCGCCCAUUAGUAUUCUAGUGGGCAGGACCGUUCGAGCGUCAUUUCAACCCUUAAGCCUUCGUUGCUUAGUGUUGGGAGCCUACGGCAACGUAGCUCCUCAAAGUUAGUGGCGGAGUUGGUUCACACUCUAGACGUAGUAAUUUUUUAUCUCGCCUAUUAGUUGGACUAAUCCCCUGCCGUAAAACCCCCAAUUUAUCAAGGUUGACCUCGAAUCGGUUCAGACAAACUCGCUAAAUUGAAGCAUCUUAGUCAGCGAAGGAAAAGAAACCAACAGGGAUUGCCCUAGUAACGGCGAGUGAAGCGGCAACAGCUCAAAUUUGAAAUCUGGCCCUCGGGUCCGAGUUGUAAUUUGUAGAGGAUGCUUUUGGCGCGGUGCCUUCCGAGUUCCCUGGAACGGGACGCCUUAGAGGGUGAGAGCCCCGUACGGUUGGACACCAAGCCUCUGUAAAGCUCCUUCGACGAGUCGAGUAGCU